rfam:Hordeum vulgare subsp. vulgare, WGS project CAJW01000000 data, contig: morex_contig_888436
AGCGAUACUGACGUGCAAAUCGUUCGUCUGACUUGGGUAUAGGGGCGAAAGACUAAUCGAACCAUCUAGUAGCUGGUUCCCUCCGAAGUUUCCCUCAGGAUAGCUGGAGCCCAUUACGAGUUCUAUCAGGUAAAGCCAAUGAUUAGAGGCAUUGGGGACGCAACGUCCUCGACCUAUUCUCAAACUUUAAAUAGGUAGGAUGGCUCGGCUG